rnacentral:misc_RNA from 1 species
CAUAAGAUUAUAGCCUUCUUCUCCAAAAGAAGACCUUCCCAGACUUUGUUUCUACUCCAACUUGGCUUUAAACAAAGAAAUUAGUUGAGGUACCUUCAAGAUUGAGAGGAAAGGAAGAUGGGAAGGGGAAAGAUUGUGAUUCGCAGAAUCGACAAUUCGACGAGCAGGCAAGUGACUUUCUCGAAAAGGAGAAGUGGGUUGCUUAAGAAGGCUAGGGAGCUCUCAAUCCUUUGUGAUGCAGAAGUUGGAGUAAUUAUAUUCUCCAGCACUGGCAAGCUCUAUGAUUAUGCAAGCACUAGUAUGAACUCAGUUAUUGAACGCUACAACAAGCUGAAAGAGGAACAAAAUCAGCUGAUGAAUCCUGCUUCAGAAAUCAAGUUUUGGCAAAGGGAGGCUGCAAGCUUGAGGAAGGAAUUGCAAUACUUACAAGAAUGCCAUAGGAAAUUGAUGGGAGAAGAGCUUUCUGGUCUGAGUGUCAAAGAUCUAAAAAAUUUAGAAAACCAACUGGAGAUGAGCCUGAAAGGUGUUCGGAUGAAAAAGGACCAAAUUUUAACCGAUGAAAUCAAGGAACAGAACAGAAAGGGAAAUCUCACUUAUCAAGAAAAUCUAAAAUUGCACAAGAAAGUUGAUCUUCUCUGUCAAGAAAAUGCAGAAUUACGUAAGAAGGCUUGGGAAGAAAGGGAUGCAAGUGAAGCAAACAAAAGUUCCCACCCACCAUACACUUUAAGCAAUGGAUAUGACUUGCAUGGCCCAAUCCAUCUCCAGUUGAGCCAGCCACAGCCUCAUAGCAAUGAACCACCACCAAAGUCAAUGAAACUUGGACUACAACUGCAAUAACAAAGCAGUUGCCAGCUGUGAACAUAUACUGAUCAUCGCCCCAGUAACUUGCUUCACUGUUGAAAAAGCCAAACUUCUACAUGAUGAGAUCAUGUACGUUAACUAUUAGAAGUAUCUUUCAGCAGCAGGACAAUCAAAUUCAGCAUGAUACACUAUGUAAAAUAGACUUUAGAAAUUGUUGUAAAAUUAUUGGCCAGACCUCCUAUCAACGAAAAUCAUGCAAUAAUGAAAAAGCUUGGUAUGAGCCAGCCAGGUGUUACCCUAGCUGUCUUAAAAAUUUAUUGUGAUCGAUGAAGAUGAACUGCUUGGUUGAAAUGUGAAACUUAUACAUAUUAAUUGAAAAUUUUCCGCAUUUUAAACAUCCCAGUUUAAUUAUCAGUGUCUUCCUAGUAG